rnacentral:rRNA from 1 species
AGCUGAUGGAGCGAACAGCGUGCAGGAUGAAGUUCUUCGGAAUGUAAACUGCUGUUAUAAGGGAAGAAAAAAUAGAAUAGGAAAUGACUUUAUCUUGAAAUCAUUCGGAAAAGCUUCUAUAAUUAUGACAACUUCCCAAAAACAUAUCUUGA